rnacentral:rRNA from 1 species
AUACACGCUAGCUACAGGCUUAACACAUGCAAGUCGAGGGGAAACGACAUCGAAAGCUUGCUUUUGAUGGGCGUCGACCGGCGCACGGGUGAGUAACGCGUAUCCAACCUGCCCAUCACUUGGGAAUAACCUUGCGAAAGUAAGACUAAUACCCAAUGAUAUCCCACGAAGGCAUCGGAAUGGGAUUAAAGAUUUAUCGGUGAUGGAUGGGGAUGCGUCUGAUUAGCUUGUUGGCGGGGUAACGGCCCACCAAGGCAACGAUCAGUAGGGGUUCUGAGAGGAAGGUCCCCCACAUUGGAACUGAGACACGGUCCAAACUCCUACGGGAGGCAGCAGUGAGGAAUAUUGGUCAAUGGGCGAGAGCCUGAACCAGCCAAGUAGCGUGCAGGAAGACGGCCCUAUGGGUUGUAAACUGCUUUUAUAAGGGAAUAAAGUGGGUCACGUGUGACUUUUUGCAUGUACCUUAUGAAUAAGGACCGGCUAAUUCCGUG